UACGAGGGGAGCAAGCGUUGUUCGGAUUUACUGGGCGUAAAGGGCGCGUAGGCGGCCACGACAAGUCACUUGUGAAAUCUCCGGGCUUAACUCGGAACGGUCAAGUGAUACUGUCGGGCUAGAGUACAGAAGGGGCAACUGGAAUUCUCGGUGUAGCGGUGAAAUGCGUAGAUAUCGAGAGGAACACCAGUGGCGAAGGCGACUACCUGGCCUGUUCUUGACGCUGAGGCGCGAAAGCUAGGGGAGCAAACGGG
rnacentral:rRNA from 1 species